UGGGCUUCUGUGGGAGGGUGGGACCAAAGAAUAUGCUAGUCAAAUAUUAUAGUGUAUGUGGAGGCUUUAUGGUGGAAGAACAAUAUAGCACAUUGGAAAAAAGAAAAGGUUUUUUAAACCUGAAGCAAGAGACAGAAGGGGAUUUGUAAAAGAUAAGGUUCUUCCAGUUCUUGUCAUCUCACUUAAUUCUCAUGGAAAUUCUCUGAGGUCUUGGACUCCACCGAAUUACAUUCCAGCUUGCAAAUGGCAGAUUGUGGGACUUCUCGACCUCCGUCAUUGUAUGAGCCAAUUCCUAUGAUAAAGCUUCUCUCAUAUAUAUCUAUAGAUACCUUCCUGGUUCUGUUUCUCUGGAGAAACCUGACUAAUACAGGAAAAACAUAUAAAUGAAAUCUUCUUAAAAAGGAACUUGGAAGGAAGACGUAAGCUUCCUAAGUAUCACCGAGAGCUUCCAGCUAGCGUCUUCCGAAUUGCCCUACCACACGCAGUUCUUUCUCUAGCUCAGGAGCUCUCCUCCCUUACACACUCUGGCAGCCCUCCUCCCCGUGAGAUAUCUUGUUCCAGAACAAGAGACACCUAAGAAAAAUAAAUUUACGUGUUGUGAAAAUGGACAUACAUCCUUCAGGACUCACGAAAGCUGCCUCCCAGCCUUCCACGCCAUCACGUUGCCUGUGUGCGCUCCGGUGUGUUGAUCACGGUGUCCACAGGAAGAUGAUUCUCUUCAGCCUGAAGCUCGUUUGCCCAUGUGUAGGGCAUUGAAUGUUGGUUUCUCUGGGUUAAAUCACGGAGAGGAAGGCCUGCUGGGAGGAUGCCGUGCAGAGCUGCAGGGACGUCCUCCACCAUCCUGCGUGACUCCACCUGUGACACGGCGCCAGCCUAGGGAGUCUCCCCGGAAUUACCUUCAAGAAAAUGCUGGGUUCCGGCCUCCUCUCCCUUCCCGUACUCUCAAAACCUGAGCCCUAAUUUUAAUUUUCUCUGAUGAACCUGAAAAGAUGCCCACUUUUGAUUCCUGAAAGGUUGUCCACAAGGAGUAAAAUAAUUCGAUUUAACGGAUGAAGAAGGACUUCUGGAAUCCACUUGCCCGCAUUUAGAAUGUUCCGUACCAGGGAAUAUCAAGGUACUCCCGUUUGGUUACAUCUGUGCCGACGAGGUAAUCGUGGUUUAAGGCAAACCUUCGGUUAUGAGCUAAUCAGUUCAGCUCGCUGACUAUUGGCCUGUUAUGGCAGGACAAGAAUAAUUAAGUGCCACUUAAAGGUAUGGGAAGAACGUUAGUCAGAAAUUGAUGUGCCUCCAGAAGGCUCCAAAUGGCCGACGUUUAAUGGUCCUCUGUACGUUGCCAUGGCAACUCACUUUGGUACCUCACAUAUCCUCAGUGUAAGAAAACAAGGGGCAGAGUGUUCUUAGGAAGGUGCAACCCCCUUUAAGCAGAUCUAGAAGCAUCGCAGAUGAACAGAACUUGAAACAUUCCGCCAUGAAUAUUCAUGAAGUAAGUUGUUUUUUGUUGCCUGCCUAGUCAGCAGUCACAAAACACAUGGUGUGUGUUGGCAGCAUCUUGCCUAGGUAGAGGGCUAUGGACUGAGGCAAUGGCAGCAACCAGGACCUGUGAGGCUGACUGACAUUUCCAUCUGUAGCGAAGGCUGGUAAUUAACAGGAAGGAGUAUGCCUGCAGCAUUGCACCAUCUGCUAGGGAAACGGCUCAAUAAGAAAGGAGCUGGAUAGCAUCUCAGCGGUGGCGCGAUCUGGUUCCGACAUGAGGCCGGGCAUCUGUUAGCUGAGGAGACGGACUAUUAGGGAAUUCGACUGGGAAUGAACAACAUGGAAAGAGCACUCUGACCUAGCCCAUAAAAGCAACUCUUUAGAAAUGGUGUCUUUUUAUCUUACUUACCCAAGCCUUCUGAAAAUGGUUUGCCGAGGGACCAUUACAGAUCUGUUUGAAGGAACACAA